rnacentral:rRNA from 1 species
AAUUUUGGACAUUGGGGGCAACCCUGACCUAGCAAUGCCGCGCGAGUGAUGAAGGCCUUAGGGUUGUAAAGCUCUUUCAGAGGGGAAGAUAAUGACGGUACCAACACAAGAAGCACCGGCUAACUUCGUGCCAGCAGCCGCGGUAAUACGAAGGGGGCUAGCGUUGUUCGGAUUUACUGGGCGUAAAGCGCACGUAGGCGGAUUGGUCAGUUAGGGGUGAAAGCCCGGAGCUCAACUCCGGAACUGCCUUUAAUACUGCCAGUCUAGAGUCCGAGAGAGGUGAGUGGAACUCCUAGUGUAGAGGUGGAAUUCGUAGAUAUUAGGAAGAACACCAGCGGCGAAGGCGGCUCACUGGCUCGGUACUGACGCUGAGGUGCGAAAGCGUGGGGAGCAAAC